ACAGGGGGUGCAAACGUUGCUCGGAAUCAUUGGGCGUAAAGCGCGCGCAGGCGGUCCUUUAAGUCUGAUGUGAAAGCCCACGGCUCAACCGUGGAGGGUCAUUGGAAACUGGGGGACUUGAGUGCAGAAGAGGAAAGUGGGAUUCCACGUGUAGCGGUGAAAUGCGUAGAGAUGUGGAGGAACACCAGUGGCGAAGGCGACUUUCUGGUCUGUAACUGACGCUGAGGCGCGAAAGCGUGGGGAGCAAACAGGA
rnacentral:rRNA from 1 species